UACGGGGGGAGCAAGCGUUGUUCGGAUUUACUGGGCGUAAAGGGCGCGUAGGCGGUCGUGACAAGUCACUUGUGAAAUCUCCGGGCUUAACUCGGAACGGUCAAGUGAUACUGUCGGACUAGAGUACAGAAGGGGCAACUGGAAUUCUCGGUGUAGCGGUGAAAUGCGUAGAUAUCGGGAGGAACACCAGUGGCGAAGGCGGUUAGCUGGCCUGUAACUGACACUGAGGCGCGAAGGCUAGGGGGAGCGAACGGGG
rnacentral:rRNA from 1 species